rnacentral:rRNA from 1 species
UACGUAGGUCCCGAGCGUUGUCCGGAUUUAUUGGGCGUAAAGCGAGCGCAGGUGGUUUAUUAAGUCUGGUGUAAAAGGCAGUGGAUCAACCAUUGUAUGCAUUGGAAACUGGUAGACUUGAGUGCAGGAGAGGAGAGUGGAAUUCCAUGUGUAGCGGUGAAAUGCGUAGAUAUAUGGAGGAACACCGGUGGCGAAAGCGGCUCUCUGGCCUGUAACUGACACUGAGGCUCGAAAGCGUGGGGAGCAAACAGG